AAAGAAACCAACAGGGAUUGCCUCAGUAACGGCGAGUGAAGCGGCAAGAGCUCAAAUUUGAAAGCUGGGCCUUUCAGGUCCCGCAUUGUAAUUUGCAGAGGAUGCUUCGGGAGUGGUCCCCAUCUAAGUGCUCUGGAACGGGCCGUCAUAGAGGGUGAGAAUCCCGUAUGGGAUGGGGUGUCCACGCCCGUGUGAAGCUCCUUCGACGAGUCGAGUUGUUUGGGAAUGCAGCUCUAAAUGGGUGGUAAAUUUCAUCUAAAGCUAAAUAUUGACCGGAGACCGAUAGCGCACAAGUAGAGUGAUCGAAAGAUGAAAAGCACUUUGAAAAGAGAGUUAAAAAGCACGUGAAAUUGUUGAAAGGGAAGCGCUUGCGACCAGACUCGCCUCUAGGGUUCAGCGUGCAUUCGUGCACGUGUACUUCCCUUGGGGCGGGCCAGCGUCGGUUUGGGCGGCCGGUAAAAGGCUCUCGGAAUGUAACGCCUCUCGGGGCGUCUUAUAGCCGGGGGUGCCAUGCGGCCAGCUCAGACCGAGGAACGCGCUUCGGCUCGGACGCUGGCAUAAUGGUCGUAAACGAC
rnacentral:rRNA from 2 species